rnacentral:rRNA from 1 species
AGAAUUCAACUUGAGAGUUUGAUCCUGGCUCAGAACGAACGCUGGCGGCAGGCCUAACACAUGCAAGUCGAACGAAGGCCCAGAGCUUGCUCUGGUUACCUUAGUGGCGGACGGGUGAGUAACACGUGGGAAUUUGCCCAAGAGUGGGGAAUAACAGUUGGAAACGACUGCUAAUACCGCAUACUCCCUUCGGGGGAAAGGCUUCGGCCGCUCUUGGAUAAGCCCGCGCCAGAUUAGCUUGUUGGUGAGGUAAAGGCUCACCAAGGCGACGAUCUGUAGCUGGUCUGAGAGGAUGAUCAGCCACACUGGGACUGAGACACGGCCCAGACUCCUACGGGAGGCAGCAGUGGGGAAUAUUGGACAAUGGGGGAAACC